ACGGGGUGCAGCAGGCGCGAAACCUUCACAAUGUGCGAAAGCGCGAUGAGGGGAUCCCAAGUGCUUGCUCGUAAGAGUAAGCUGUUUUUAUGUCUAAAACGCAUAGAGAGUAAGGGCUGGGUAAGACGGGUGCCAGCCGCCGCGGUAAUACCUGCAGCUCAAGUGGUGACCGCUAUUAUUGGGCCUAAAACAUUCGUAGCCGGUUUGGUAAAUGCCUGGGUAAAUCGUGUAGCUUAACUAUACGAAUUCCGGGUAGACUGCCAAACUUGAGACCGGGAGAAGCUAGAGGUACUCCUUGGGUAGAGGUGAAAUUCUGUAAUCCUAGGGGGACCACCAGUGGCGAAGGCGUCUAGCUAGAACGGGUUUGACGGUGAGGAAUGAAGCCCUGGGGCGCAAACCGGAUUAGAUACCCGGGUAGUCCAGGGUGUAAACGCUGCUUGCUUGAUGUUAGUUGGGCUCCGAGCCCAAUUAGUGUCGGAGAGAAGUUGUUAAGCAAGCUGCCUGGGAAGUACGAUCGCAAGA
rnacentral:rRNA from 1 species